rnacentral:lncRNA from 1 species
GAGCCUAAGCUACCAGGCUACUUAAUUCAGAAACUCCAAACCACCAGCUGGAACAUCUUUCAGAUGACCAGAUCCCACUGACAUAGAAUUGGCAACAACAGCCAGAGCUGACACACCUCCUCCAUCACGGCGCUCUUUCUUGCUGAGCCAGGACAAAACCCCAGGUUCCCUCUCAAGAACUGCUCCCAUCCCCAUACCAGAAGAGCAGCCGGGCUCACAUCCGCCUCCCCCCGCA